rnacentral:rRNA from 1 species
GACGAACGCUGGCGGCGUGCUUAACACAUGCAAGUCGAGCGAUGAAGUUCCUUCGGGGACGGAUUAGCGGCGGACGGGUGAGUAACACGUGGGUAACCUGCCUCAUAGAGGGGAAUAGCCUUUCGAAAGGAAGAUUAAUACCGCAUAAGAUUGUAGUAUCGCAUGAUACAGCAAUUAAAGGAGUAAUCCGCCAUGAGAUGGACCCGCGUCGCAUUAGCUAGUUGGUGAGGUAACGGCUCACCAAGGCGACGAUGCGUAGCCGACCUGAGAGGGUGAUCGGCCACAUUGGGACUGAGACACGGCCCAGACUCCUACGGGAGGCAGCAGUGGGGAAUAUUGCACAAUGGGGGAAACCCUGAUGCAGCAACGCCGCGUGAGUGAUGACGGUCUUCGGAUUGUAAAGCUCUGUCUUCAGGGACGAUAAUGACGGUACCUGAGGAGGAAGCCACGGCUAACUACGUGCCAGCCGCCGCGGUAAGAC